CGCACUUCAAGUUCGGACUGUGUGGUACGGGGAUCGAGAUGAGACAUAGUGGGGAUAGACCCCGACAAUUCUUGUCGUUCCUGUUGAACAUCUAUGUUCUUAUCUGCCCCUAACGACGGGAAGAUUGUCUCAUCAAAGUGACAAUCCGCAAAUCUAGCGGUAAAGAGAUCGUCUGUCAAGGGUUCAAAAUAGCAGACGAUAGUUGGAGAUUCAUAGCCAACAUAGAUGCCCAUUCGUCGUUGUGGACCCAUCUUAGUACGUUGUGGCGGCGUAAUAGGCACAUAAAUGGCACAUCCAAAAAUGCGUAAGUGCGAGAUCGGGCUCGUACCUAGUCACUAGCUGUAAAGCAGAAUAAGAUUGGAUGGCAGCGAGUCGUAGACGAAUUAGCGUCGCUGCAUGUAGUAUUGCAUAUCCCCAAGCGGAAACAAGGAGACUGGUGCGCAUAACCAUGACUAUGAACAUGGGGAACUGGAUGUUCCACAUCAAUCCCCAGUGACAUGCAAUAGUAAUCGCACGAUGUAAACUCCCCAGCAUUAUCAAGUCGUAUUGACUUAAUUGGGUGGUCUGGGUAGUGAGCCCGUAGACGGAUAAUUUGGGCUAGGAGUUUAGCAUAAGCAGCAUUUUGAGUGGACAACAGCGCGACAUGUGACCAGUGUGUCGACGCAUCAAUCAAUACCAUAAAGUAUUUAAAAGGUUCGCAUGAUGGUUGAAUUGGUCCACAGAUAUCCCCAUGGAUUCGUUGUAAGAACGGAAUGAGUAUUUUGGGAUCCUUUGCGUAGGACAGUCUCGGUCCUAAUUUCCCUAAGGAACUAGCUUUGCAAAAUGAGCAAGGGGCCUUAGAAGCAACCAAUGAGGAUUUUGGUUGGGCCUGAGCAACUGUAGCGCUAUUAGAAGCAAAAUGUGUGACUACAUCACCCAUCAUGGCGUUAGAACCAUGGGAAGUGGCACCCAUGGCGCCAUUGCCAUGGGUGAUGCCCUUUUUGGCGUUGUCAAGGGGGACGGACAUGUGUAACGUCCCGAACCUAAAUUUACCAGUUUACGAGUCUUUCGAUGGGUAAACGACAUUUACAUUUACUUUUUGGCUCCGUUUCGACACUUUAGGGGGCCCUAAAAGUUGACUUUUUGUUCGGGUCAAAAUUUGAGAAAUGUUCUUCAUGAAAGUUGUAGAGGACGUUAAACCGAGCGCGUGCAUAUGUGAUACGUAAAAAUCGGAGUUCGUAUGCGAAAGUUAUAAGCGAAAAGGUAAAGUUACUGUUCAUGGUAAUUUUCUAUAAAUAGCUGAGGUACUGUGGUAAGUUUCCAUUUUUGGAAACCUACCGGCUUUUCUCUCUCCUCUCCCCCGACCCUUUCUUCCUCUUCGGUCCGGUUUCUUCUUCCUUCGAUUUCUUCCUCCUCCGACCGACCCACGACGAAAUCCGGGCAUCCCCAGGCUCGCCUCCCCCCUUGUUGCAUAUGUGGUGGUGUUUUGCAGAGAUUUGGCCGGAGGGGCUCGAUUUUGAGCCGUGAAGUUUACUGUAGCAGUUUGGGAUUUUCGUCGAUUUCCGGCGAUUCCGGCCAUCUCCGGUCACCAUACCGGCGUCGAAGGUUCGGUUUUUGCCAUAGAUCAUUUUGCCCCUAGCCUUGAGCCACGAUUUGCAGUGUGGAGGUCGAAUCGAAGAUUUGAAAUUCUGGGUUACUAUUCACAAUUCGGGUUCCAACUUCUCCUUAAUUGUUGAGGUACUUCUAGUCGUUUUCUGGAUUUGUAGCAGUUAUGAAAGACGCUUAGAAUGUUGAGUUGAUGAUGCUGGUAAAAUUUGGUAGCCAGAUAUGGUGGUUGACCGGCGGUGCGUGGGGCCCACGUGCAGUCGUCUGUGGUGGCAUGUGAGGGCGCGUCCGGCCGUUCCUGGGCGAUAUACCGAGCUAUUGCUCGAUGAAGGAAUUCGUAUACGUGAUCGCCUAAAUAGUACUGUGAGUGGACAUUUAUUUUAAAUUAAAUGUGCAUGCAGUAUAUUAUUAUUUUC